rnacentral:tRNA from 1 species
GAGGGUAUGGCUCAGUGGUAGCGUAUAUACCUAGCAUGCAUGAGGUCCUGGGUUCAAUCCCCAGUAUCUCCA